UUUUAUUCCUUUAAGUACUCAAGGUUUUCUUGGUGUUGUUGGACGACGACCACAAUACAUAGUCAAGAUGAACACAUCUUUCUGGAAAACUCACCGAGACAAUAAGAAGAGAUAUGAGGGAAGCAUUACAUGCAAUGAAAAAGAUAAAUGGAUACAUUGAAUACACAUCGCAGCAGUGCAAAAGAAUAGCAGGAAAACAUCACAAUGGAACAGAUAAGAGCCGAAAUUGAAUAUACAUCGUAACAAAUGAUAAAGAAAUAUCAGGAGAUCAUUGAUCACAAUCGAACAAAG